GCCGGAGUGGUGGAACUGGAAGACGCCGGACUCAAAAUCCGGUGGGGAUUUUCCCCCUGCGGGUUCGACCCCCGCCUCCGGCA
rnacentral:tRNA from 1 species